AUGCACAGCGGUCACUCCAGUGGACAGUUAUUCUACAGCUGUUCUUUUGUGUAUUCAUGGGUUUUGUUGUUUUAGUUGCAUAUCAGCCAAUAAAGUGGACGUUCAUGCAUCAUUUCAUACACUGCAACUCAUCCCAUUACUGUAACUUUGCUGUUCUUGAUAAACCUGAUCUGCAGCAACAUGUUUGACUUUAAAAAAUUGCCAAUUGUUAUUAGACUCUAAUUAACAGUUUU